rnacentral:rRNA from 1 species
AACGCUGGCGGCGUGCCUAACACAUGCAAGUCGAGCGAGGAGAUUCCUCGGGAUGAUCCUAGCGGCGGACGGGUGAGUAACACGUGGCAACCUGCCUCAUAGAGAGGAAUAGCCUUCCGAAAGGGAGAUUAAUACCUCAUAACAUUGCAGUUUCGCAUGGAACAGCAAUUAAAGGAGUAAUCCGCUAUGAGAUGGGCCCGCGGCGCAUUAGCUAGUUGGUGAGGUAACGGCUCACCAAGGCGACGAUGCGUAGCCGACCUGAGAGGGUGAUCGGCCACAUUGGGACUGAGACACGGCCCAGACUCCUACGGGAGGCAGCAGUGGGGAAUAUUGCACAAUGGGGGAAACCCUGAUGCCAGCAACGCCGCGUGAGUGAUGACGGCCUUCGGGUUGUAAAGCUCUGUCUUCAGGGACGAUAAUGACGGUACCUGAGGAGGAAGCCACGGCUAACUACGUGCCAGCCGCGGC